rnacentral:tRNA from 1 species
ACUAUUUUGGCAGAAAAGUGUAAUGAUUUUAGAAGUCAAAAAUAUAUAGGUAAUUAUAUAGGUAGUA